ensembl:lncRNA
AAAGCUUCAUGUGGGACACUUCAUGGUGGCAUCCAGAGUACAUGUCCCAGAUAUGUCCAGUCCCACCUUCUGGUCCUAGUGCAGAGGAGCUGCCGGCAGAUGACAGUAGCUAUCCUCCUUCAAUACUGAGGAAAAGGCAACCUGUGGAUCAAGCUGUGGGGGAAAAGCAGAAAGUAGAGAGAAGGGUUCGAUUUCGUGAGCCAGAAGUCAUUGAACAUGCCAUUUCCUGCUGUGACUACGUAGUGGUAGAUGACAGGUCAUCAUCUGGAUUGCCUAUGCUCCUGUGGCUCUCAUUUUGUGCAGUGCUGAUCCUUGCUGUGAGUCUCUACUACAGCAGCAUGAAGCAAGAUGUCAAAGUCCUGGAGGAAUUUCAAUCCCGACUUGUUAUCUUCUUUCUUCAUAUAAGACACGUUGCUCAGAGAUGUUGGACUUGGUUUGUGAAGCAGUAGCAAUGUCCUUCAGCCUGACACUGUUAAGCAGCAUGAGUCAGUGCAAAACUCCCAGUUUACUCCAGCCACAUGCAAGGAAACACAUGAUCAUCCACCCCAAAGAGCAAGAAAAUCACCCCUGUUGUGCAUCAUCCAGCAGCCACUUCUUUCUUCUUCUUUGUUUGUUUUUCCACAUCAACGAACAGUCAUUACCAGUGCCUUGAGUUCUCACCAAACUCAUGCUCCAUCACCCUGAACAGCAAACAAGUAUCUCAGUUUUAUCCCCCAUAGUUUAUGAACUGCUGAUAUGAGGAGCAAAAAGUAGAGAGAGAAACAGAUUGGUCUGUGCAGGCAGCAGCAAGCUCUGAGUCUCAGGUCAAGGCUUUAGAUAUCAAAUCACCUUUCUCCUUAAGUCUCCUAAGAGCUAUUCUGCAAAAGUUAAAAUAAAGCAGAACUAUUGCACCA